GGAAUUGUUCGCAAUGGGCGCAAGCCUGACGACGCAACGCCGCGUGGAGGAUGAAGGGCUUCGGCUCGUAAACUCCUUUCGACCGAGAUGAAUAUCCACAGGGCUAAUAUCCCUGUGGACUGACAGUAUCGAGGGAAGAAGCCCCCGCUCACUCCGUGCCAGCAGCCGCGGUAAUACGGGGGGGGCAAGCGUUGUUCGGAAUUACUGGGCGUAAAGGGUUCGUAGGUGGUCAACUAAGUCAGACGUGAAAUCCCUCAGCUUAACUGGGGAACUGCGUCUGAUACUGGUUGACUUGAGUGCAGGAGAGGAACGCGGAAUUCCAGGUGUAGCGGUGAAAUGCGUAGAUAUCUGGAGGAACACCGGUGGCGAAGGCGGCGUUCUGGACUGUAACUGACACUGAGGAACGAAAGCCAGGGGAGCAAAC
rnacentral:rRNA from 1 species